AUGUAGGGCAAUCUGUCUUUGAGUAGGGAUAAAUUAAAAGAAAUGAAUCCUAGAUAGCUUUACGUUCAAGUCAAGCAUCUUGU
rnacentral:pre_miRNA from 1 species